CAGGGAUUGCCUCAGUAACGGCGAGUGAAGCGGCAACAGCUCAAAUUUGAAAGCUGGUACUUUUAGUGCCCGCGUUGUAAUUUGUAGAGGAUGUUUCGGGUGCGGCGCCGGUCUAAGUUCUUUGGAACAAGACGUCAUAGAGGGUGAGAAUCCCGUAUGUGACUGGUUGCCUGUGCCUAUGUGAAACUCCUUCGACGAGUCGAGUAGUUUGGGAAUGCUGCUCAAAAUGGGAGGUGUAUUUCUUCUAAAGCUAAAUAUUGGCCAGAGACCGAUAGCGCACAAGUAGAGUGAUCGAAAGAUGAAAAGCACUUUGGAAAGAGAGUUAAACAGUACGUGAAAUUGUUGAAAGGGAAGCGCUUGCAAUCAGACUUGCGCGGCGUCGAUCAGCCUGGGUUCUCCCUGGUGUACUCGGCGCCGCUCAGGCCAGCAUCAGUUUCGGCGGUGGGAUAAAGGCCUAGGGAACGUGGGUUGCCUCGGCGACCGUUAUAGCCCUAGGUGCAAUGCCGCCUGCUGGGACUGAGGACCGCGCUUCGGCUAGGAUGCUGGCGUAAUGGUUGUAAGCGACCCGUCUUGAAACACGGACCAAGGAGUCUAACAUCUAUGCGAGUGUUUGGGUGUCAAACCCAUACGCGUAAUGAAAGUGAACGGAGGUGAGAACCCUUAAGGGUGCAUCAUCGACCGAUCCUGAUGUCUUCGGAUGGAUUUGAGUACGAGCAUAGCUGUUGGGACCCGAAAGAUGGUGAACUAUGCCUGAAUAGGGUGAAGCCAGGGGAAACCCUGGUGGAGGCUCGCAGCGGUUCUGACGUGCAAAUCGAUCGUCAAAUUUGGGUAUAGGGGCGAAAGACUAAUCGAACCAUUCGUCAGACAUUUUUGGCUACUGGUGGUUGAGAGAUAUAUGAAAUGCUUAUAUCUAGUUUCUUUUAGAAGCUAUACUGCAAAAGUGCGGGGACCCUCUUAUUGCCUAAAUUACUGCCUGCCGAAUCGAAAGGUCCGGUUGGCACCAGUCAUCACUGGGUAUAGUAAUAAUAUUUAGGAUUGAGUUAUCCGCAGCCAUAUUCUACGGUUGAUUACCGAAAUCUUCUAUGGAUAGGGUUCAUCGACUAGAUGGCAGUGGGUUCAGAUUUCGACCAAAUCUGAUGCCUAAGGUAUAGUCAGACUGCGGUAGCAAUAUCGUAAGAUCAAUCAGGACAACUUAUCUGGGCUUUACAAUGUUUCAAGGGCUUUGAAAGAUAGGGGAUGGUAGAGGAUCUUUUGAAAGUGGCUUGUAGUACUGCCCGGUUCCGUUUUCCAAUUCCGCCCAGGAGUUUGGGAUCGGGGAUUGUCCUGUGAGAUCAUAAUG
rnacentral:rRNA from 1 species